GACGAACGCUGGCGGCGUGCCUAAUACAUGCAAGUUGAGCGAUGAAGAUUGGUGCUUGCCCCAAUUUGAAGAGCAGCGAACGGGUGAGUAACGCGUGGGGAAUCUGCCUUUGAGCGGGGGACAACAUUUGGAAACGAAUGCUAAUACCGCAUAAUAACUUUAAACAUAAGUUUUAAGUUUGAAAGAUGCAAUUGCAUCACUCAAAGAUGAUCCCGCGUUGUAUUAGCUAGUUGGUGAGGUAAAGGCUCACCAAGGCGAUGAUACAUAGCCGACCUGAGAGGGUGAUCGGCCACAUUGGGACUGAGACACGGCCCAAACUCCUACGGGAGGCAGCAGUAGGGAAUCUUCGGCAAGGGACGAAAGUCUGACCGAGCAACGCCGCGGGAGUGAAGAAGGGUUUCGGAUCGUAAAACUCUGUUGGUAGAGAAGAACGUUGGUGAGAGUGGAAAGCUCAUCAAGUGACGGUAACUACCCAGAAAGGGACGGCUAACUACGUG
rnacentral:rRNA from 1 species